GAUGAACGCUGGCGGCGUGCCUAAUACAUGCAAGUCGAGCGAACGGACGAGAAGCUUGCUUCUCUGAUGUUAGCGGCGGACGGGUGAGUAACACGUGGAUAACCUACCUAUAAGACUGGGAUAACUUCGGGAAACCGGAGCUAAUACCGGAUAAUAUUUUGAACCGCAUGGUUCAGAAGUGAAAGACGGUCUUGCUGUCACUUAUAGAUGGAUCCGCGCUGCAUUAGCUAGUUGGUAAGGUAACGGCUUACCAAGGCAACGAUGCAUAGCCGACCUGAGAGGGUGAUCGGCCACACUGGAACUGAGACACGGUCCAGACUCCUACGGGAGGCAGCAGUAGGGAAUCUUCCGCAAUGGGCGAAAGCCUGACGGAGCAACGCCGCGUGAGUGAUGAAGGUCUUCGGAUCGUAAAACUCUGUUAUUAGGGAAGAACAUAUGUGUAAGUAACUGUGCACAUCUUGACGGUACCUAAUCAGAAAGCCACGGCUAACUCCGUG
rnacentral:rRNA from 1 species